AUCCCAAUUGGGCAGCAAUUCGGACUGCCUGGCUCUUGAUAGUUAUCUCUAAAGAGGAGGGAAGCGGUCACAAAGGAACAUACUCAACGCAGAAGGAAUGGACACACAGCUGAACGUCACUGUCUGCAAAUCCAGUGCUUUGAGCAGUCUGAGGCAGGAGAGUCACUGGUUCAAGGCUGAAAAAUGUAGUUGUUGAUAGAGUGCUUGCCUAGCACGCAUGAAGUCCUGGGUUCGAGCCUCAGCAGCAUAAACAAACAAACAAACAAACAAAACCCAGGACAUACAGACUCACACUUGGAAUCCCAGCACUGGGAACAGAACACAAGAGGAUUACUGUGUGCUGGAGGCCAGCCUGGACUACCUAGCAAGACCUCACCUAGUCCCCUAAAAUUUCUGUUUUAAAAGAGGAAUUCCUUUUUUUAAAUAAUCUUCUUUAUUAUUCCUUUAUGUGUAUGACUGUUUAUAUCUGUGCACCGUGUAUGUGCCUGAAGUCUGGGGAGGUAAGGAGAAGGCAUUAGAUCCCCUGGAACUGGAGUUACUAACAGAUGCGAUGGGCCAUGUAGGUGCUGGGAAUCAAACCAGGUCCGCUGCGAGAAACGUUCUUGACCAUUAAGCUGUCUCUUUAUCCCCCAGUAAAUGAUUCUGGAAAUUUUAUUUAUUUAUGUAUGUGUGUAGGCCAAAGGACACUUACAAGAGAUGAUUCUCUUCUUCUGCCCUAUGGGUUUUGGGAAUUGAACUCAGCUUGUCUUAGCAGUAAGUAUGUUUAUUGGCUGAACCAUCUUACCUGCAAUAAAACUGGCUUCAGUCCCUGGCACCGCCUAAAAUGCCACACACCUGUAGUUUCAGCACUCAGAAAGAGGCAACAGAAGUGUCAGGGGUUAAACCAACUACAUGAGACCCUGUCUCCAAAAACCACAUCAAGUUAAAAAGUUUAAAGUG
rnacentral:lncRNA from 1 species